rnacentral:lncRNA from 1 species
GGGGGCCGGGGCCGUGCCUGUCCCGGCGGCGGGGCCGGGAUGCGGCGGAGCCGGAGCCGGGCACGAUGCGCGGCGGGGCGCUGGCGCUGCUCUGCGCCCUGUCCCUGUCCCUGUCCCUGUCCCUGUCCCUGUCCCUGUCCCUGUCCCUGUCCCUGUGCCCGGCUGCGCUGGCGGCCCCCGAGCCGGGCUCCGGGCUGGACUCAGAUGAGGUGAACCUGCUGGACAAAAUCACUCUCCAUGCCCAGGACCUCAGCAAUGUUUCCUUUGGCUACGACCACAGCAAGUGCAGGAUCCUGGAGAUUGGGCAGUACGCGACCCUCAACAUCCCCACCAGAGAGGCCUUUGGGGACAGGUAACCUCCCUUCAGGGGUGGGAACGGGCUGCUGGGGCUCAAAAAUCAUCUAAGGCGUGGC